UCUGACAGCAGUAAGGCAAAAGACGCGCAUUAUACACUGAGCUACAGUCCAGCACCAUCAUGAUCUUCGAAUGGGUCUCAUAUAUUGCGUUUUACCUGCUUGUUGCUGUUUUUGGUGCAUUUCUUGCAUAUUGUCUGUAUGUUCAUCAUGUUCAUCAGAAAUAUGAUCAUCUACCUGGACCUCCAAGAGAGAAUUUUCUGCUGGGACAUAUACAAAUUUUUGCUAGAACACUGAAG